rnacentral:lncRNA from 1 species
UCCAUGUAAUUUUUUGCACUUGGCUAAGUAUACUUAAACUCGACCAUGAUUAUAAUACAUAACUAGUAACAGUUACACAAUCAAGCUACAUAACUGGCUAAACAACUAUAUUUUCGCAAACUAAAAAAUAAACUGCUCAUACACGAAAAUAAGUUAUACAAUAUUUUACAACCUGAAAGUUCAAAGAUUAGAUAUAUGAGCUUCAUAACCUGCAAAGUUCUGCUAUUCUCAAUCAGAAGUCCAUGUAAUUUUUUGCACUUGGCUAAGUAUACCUAAAUUCGACCGUGAUUAUAACACACAACUAGUAACAAUUACACAGUCAAACUACAUGACUGGCUAAACAACUAUAUUUUCGCAAACUACAAAAUACUGCACAUACACGAAAAUAAGUUAUCCAAUAUUUUCCAACCUGAAAGUACAAAGAUUAGAUAUAUGAGCUUCAUAACCUGCAAAGUUUUGCUAUUCUCAAUCCUUCAGAAAGGGACAACAAUACUUUCUAUUCAAUAAAUUUCAAUUAUUUUAUAUUUUUCCUCUCUUUUUACCACUCCUAAUGUAUUGAGUUCGAUUCGAAACAGAUGAUAUUCAAAUUUGCUGAAGUGCGGUUUCUUCAUCACCACCAUUUCUUCAUUUUUAAUUGGAUCGAUAGCAUUUGAAGGCACCUCUGAGACAACUCCUUUAGUAGAAUAUGGUGGUGACAUGCCAUUCAAGCACUCCUCCAAUAUCAUUAUAGUUUGUCAAACUAUUCAAAAAUCAGUAAAAUAAACAAAUACCGAAUAUCAAAUUAUAAUAUGUAAUACAUUUACUUCGUAACACUUGUAGAAGAGUAGAUGAUUUAUGUUUUGCAUUGUAUCAUAAUUGUUAAGAAACAAUAACCAACUAUCGCAAAUUUCAGAUCAUAACUCUCAAGAAUGAUAGUUUUAUCUCGACAGAUGGAUUCCAUAAGCACUACACGUGAAUUCUCCAUAUGCUAACAUGAAUCAAAUAUUUGAAUCCUUAAAUUGAACCACAAUACAUCGAAUUUAAAAACGUAUCAACUCAUAAAUUCAGCCCACAUUUAAAUUAAACUCAAAAUUUUCAUCCAAACGACAUGUGAGCUGACCAUAAAUCGAUUCAACAACUCACUGUUAGUAAAAGAUAAAAAAAGGUUCCUAUAUGCAUUUAAAUUAUUGUACUUACAAAUCGAAUAAUCAAGUAUUUGAGAAAACAUAAUCACGGAAUAAACACAACUCCUCAUUCAUCUAAAAUUGAAUCAAUGACUCGAUAAAAAAUAUCAAAAUAUAUAGAUAAAUGAACAAGCUUACAAAUAAAUGUAACUAAGCUAAUUCGGGGAAAAAAAAAAGAGACUAACUUCAUGCAAACUUAAAAUUAUAUUCAUAACACAAUACAACAAGAAUUUAAUUUAACGAUAACACCUAAAACAAUAGCAUAUUUGGAAAAAAAAAUCUCGGUAAAACUUCAAAAUCAAGUAAAAUUGUCAAAUUAUACAACUAACACUAAACAAGAGCGUACUAAAAUUUCAUUCAUUCUUACUUCCCAGUGUAGCCUAAAUGUAAUUCACUAAAUAAGAGUGUAUUUUCACUUUUUCAUUUGCAGAACUUACAUACCAUUAAAAAUUAAGUAAUCCUGGUUCAAAACAAUAGGAACACCAGUCGUUUUCUAUUUAGGGGCUGUUCUCUUUCCCGUUUUCAAGUCGUUUUCUAUUUUCAAUUUUUCAAAACGAUGAAAAUGCGUUCUUUUUCCCAUUUUCGAAAACCAGUUUUUGAAAACAAAAAAAUGAAUUACACUAAAAACACAAAACGACUAAAAAGAUGUUUUGAACGUUUUGAAGCCAAAACCAUGAAAAAGUAGAAAACACGGGAAAUGCCUACAUUAAAACCCACUCGUGACCUUCUCUCUCAGAUAUUCUCUCUCUCCUCGUCUCCUGUAAGAUCCGUUCCAGUAUCUUCUAGGGUUUGCUCUGCCUUCGCCCAAACAAGUCCGACGAAUAGCUACACUCACCGAUUUAGCUCCUCAGAACACCUGAGAAAUUGCGUGAAGAGGUGAAAAUUUCUGUCAAAAUUUCUCAUAUUUUGUGCAAAUUUCUAUCAAUUCAAGCCUCUGCGGCUUCCAUGGGGUAGGGACCUAAUGCCUUCUUCUUUUGGGUUUUUCAUUUUAGCUAUGAGAUCAUAUUGCUCGCUGAAUGAAUCUUUUUAUUGCUAGAAUUUUGCACCUUUCUUUUGCUGUUUUACUUAUAAAUGGUUUAGUUCCAUUGCUUUUUCUAGGCGUGCGUGUGUUGUGCCGCGGGGUGGGGAGAUAUUAAUCAAAUUAGCGAUUGAGUUAGCCAUGGAAAUGAUUUCGUAAUCUUUCGCAAUUGAGGAUUCUUGAUAAUAUGAGGCACGAUUAUGUUGCCUAUGACUGGAUACAGGAUGAAUGCAACAGAUAUUUAAAUUUAUGUUGAAAGUUUCCAAGUGUUUGAUAGAAGUCCCCAAUGGCUUCAUCUUUUUUAUUUUUAUUUUUUACUUUCACUCUUCCAUCGUUUUAGUUCAUUUGCUUCCUAGAAUACUAUUCUGACUGAUGAAUCACUAGACAAAAAAUAAUAACCCACCAAUGUUUCUAAGAGCUGCUAUCCUAUGCUUAGUUCGUCAAUCCUGAUUGUCUCUUUAAUCUCAAAACUCUGCAACUUCUGUCCAUCAUCUACCCAUCCUUUGAUCCAUCUCGGGAUGUUUUUGGUAGAAGAGGAAAUGGUUGGAAGCUUGUAAUUGAACUGCUCCUUUUUAUUCCAUUUUGGCUUUUUGAUAGAAUCUGAAAUGAAGUCCACCAUUUCAAAUUAAAUGGAAUGACGUCCUGACAAUCUUGCUCUACUUUUCUACUGUAGAAUUCUUGAAUCUGGCUUUAGAUCUUUAUAUUUUGGCAGCAUAUUAUAGGACGGCAUUAUGCUAGUGCAAAAUAAAAUCUGUCUGAAGUUCAGUGCUAGGGCUACUUUUCGCUUAUUUUCUUUCCAAUAAUUGUUUCAUGCUAAUUUAGUGGGAUGCUUCAACCUUAGCUGAUUCUCUGUUGCUUGAGCAUUUUCAGUGGCAAGUCUGAAAUUGUAAGUCAUGCUGGACCUCGCUUAAGGCAAGUUCCCUUUUAUGGACUGAUCUUAUGAAAGGAAGGUUCUAAUAACAUGACUAAUUGGUGCCCUUUUCUUUGGGCAAGGCCGUGGGUUUUCUUUUCUUUUCUUUCCUCUUUUUUUUUCAACUUUUCUAAAAUUGUAAUAAAUGUAAUACUCUACUUAUUUCCUAAUAAUUUGGUGUAUAUAAAUAUAGCUCCUAUAUGGGUGGUCACAGAGUUAGGAAUCAGGAACCAAUGUCCUGGUCAGACGAGAAUGAACACACUUUCAUCGAAAUUCUUUAUGAGAAAGUGAAAUCAAAUGUAUUGCAAUGUUCAACAUUCACGAAAGACGAAUGGGGUAGGAUCAAUGAAAACAUGAUAGCUUCAACAAAAAUGGAUUACGGGAUAGAUAGAUUAAAGGGAAAGUGGAACCGCUUACGUAAGAUUCAUCGCAUGUUCUCUGAACUUUUGGGACAUACAGGGGUUACAUGGGAUCCAAAUACCAACAAAGUUAAUGCUGCUGAGGAAGUUUGGCAACACUUUUAUACGGUACAUGUAUUUAUUAAAGAAUAUUUUUGUCAUUAUUUUUUUCUUAUCAAAUUUAUUUUUUUAUGUUCAACACUUUGACAAUGUGACUUCUUUUCCAAUGGCAGAUUAAUAGGUCGGAUUACAAGAUGUUCAAGAGGGAAGGAUGUAAGCACUACCACACUCUUGGGGAGAUAUUUAGUGGGACUACAGCUACUGGAGGAUUAUGCAAAGCCUCCACUCAGCUUCCAAACACAUCAGAGGAAGAAAGGCAACUAGAAAAUGAUUUUUUGAAUAGGGGAGUGCAUGUACAUGCAGAGAAUGAUGAUGAAGUCGAUGUGGUUUCUGAUACUCGUCGAUGUAACGAAAUUGGUACAUCAGGUGAACGACAACGUAAGGAACCUAAGAUCAGUAAAAGUGAUAAACUUGAGGCAUGCAUGGCACAAUGGUCAUCUACAGUUAGUAUGAGGAAUGAAGAAAUUGAACUUAGAAAACUUUAUCUGAAAGAAAAGCUUGCAAAGAUUCAAGGAAAAUCAAGUAAUCAGUCAGAUGUUGAAGUUAACAGUCCGGAUCCUUAUUCAAAUGUCAUUUGCAUGGACAUCUUAAACGAUAUUGAAAGGUUGUCUAAUGAGGUUUAUAUGAAAGCAAUACGGGCUUUUAAUGAUCCUAAUUUCAGGGUGUCAUUUGUGAAGAUGCCAGAAGUAAGGAGAGGACCUAUUUUGGAACUACUUUGAUGUGACUGUUGUUUUAAUUUUUCUAGUAACGUGUUGUUCUAAUUUGUGAUGUUGAAAUACUACGUUAAAGUGUGACUAUUGUUGUUCUAAUUUGUGAUGUUGAAUGUUGAAUGUUGAAAUACUACGUUAACAUGUUGUUUUAAUUUGUGAUGUUGAAUGUGUGACUAUUGUUGAAAUACUACAUUAAUGACUAUGGUUAUAUUUUGUUCACAGUAUGGCCAGUGAAUCAAGUGAUGAUGAUUUGUUAAAUAUGGAUGAUUCGAAAGGAAAUUUUGGAGAUUUCAUGAUGCUUCAUUGCUUUGCUGCACACAAAGGAAGUACCAUUGGUAGGAUGCCUUGUAGAACAUCAUUGCUUACGGGAAAAAUGUACGUGCUCGAAAUUUUGAAUGGACAUCCGGAAGUGUGUUAUCGUAAUUUUCGUAUGCAGAAACACGUUUUUAUGAAUUUUUGUGAUACUUUAAAAGAAAAAGGGUUGUUGUAUGAUGGGAAAAAAGUGAGUGUUGAGGAGGGUGUUGCUAUGUUUUUGAUGAUUGUAGGGCACACGACACGAUACAGUAUAAUUGGUGAUAGGUUUCAGCAUUCCAAUAACACAAUACAUAAAUGGUUUAAACGAGUUAUCAGGGCUGUUUGUUCAUUUGGCAUUGAACUAAUACGUCCGACAAAUCAAGACAUUGUGCAUGAGCGAAUUUUGCAGAAAUAUCCUUUCUUUAAAAAUUGUAUAGGUGCAAUAGAUGGAACACAUGUUGCUGCUUGGGCUCCUGCAUCGAGACAAAUAUCUUUUCGAGGAAGGAAAACUAAUGUAACACAAAAUGUGAUGUUGACAUGUGAUUUUGAUAUGAAAUUCACAUUUGUGUAUUCUGGUUGGGAAGGUACUGCUAAUGAUUCACGAGUAUUUGUUGACGCUGUCACAAGGAGCUCAAACAAUUUUCCAAUGCCACGAGGAGGUAUAUUCUUAUACUUCAAAUAAUUAUUGCGAAUUUAUUUACAGUCACACUAUGUAAGCCUUUUUUUCAUUUUGCAGAUCAAUUUUACCUUGUUGAUUCUGGAUAUCCAAAUAUGCCUGGAUUUCUUGCCCCUUAUCGAGGUCAAAGAUAUCAUCUGCGUGACUAUGUUGGACGGGGAAGAUUACGUGGGAAGGAAGAAUUGUUCAACUAUAGACACUCAUCGUGCCGUAACAUUAUUGAACGUUGCAUUGGAGUUUUAAAGGCAAGAUUUCCUAUUUUGAAGUUGAUUACCAACUAUCAACUUAGUAGGCAAAGACAAAUUCCUAUUGCAUGUUGCGCAAUAAACAACUUUAUUCGUCAGGAGCACGCUUUAGAUAAGUUGUUCGUACAGUAUUCGGAGGAGAAUAUGGUGUUUCAAGAUAUCCCGGAGUCAAGUCAAGAUCAAGAAGUCAUAAAUUUUGAUGCUAGUCAAACAGCUCAAAUGGGACAAGUUAGGGAUCAAAUUGCUACACAAAUGUGGAAUGACUAUUCAAGACGUCGUAUAUGAUUUCGUGGAUGUAGUUUAUAUUUUGUUAGUGUCUACUUGUUUUGUAAUGACACAUAAACUUCGAAAAAUAUCUAUUGAAUUAUUCGUAUUCAGGAUUUUGAAUUAUUCUAGUGCUUUCUCAUGAUUUGAACUGUGUUAAAUGUUGUCUUCUGGUAAACAAGUGAAUUAUUUUGAAAGAGUGCAUAUUCGGGAAAGCUUAAAGUAAAUUGUUGGGCUAAAAUUGAAGUUGGUUACUAGUUUAAAAUGGAAAUAAAAUUCAACGGCUAACAUGAAUUAAUUACAUAAAGUUCAACUAAUACUAUAUUUAAUAUUAUAUUAGCAUUAAAAUAUUCACAUUUGUUGAAUAAUCAGAUUUUUGGAAUAAAAUAUUAUUAAAAAAAUUUCUCAAAAUUUCAAAGUAAACGCGUUUUUCAGUUUUAUGUUUUCAGAAACAGUUUUCCAAAAUGACAAAGAGAACGUAUUUUCAGCAAUUUCAAAACAGGCACUCAAAACACAAAACUCAAAAUGAUUUCAAAACUCAAAACACAAAAUCGAAACACAAAGAGAACAGGCCCUAAAUAAUUCUACCCAACAUGACAUGGAAAACAUUUGAAAAUCUCAAUUAUUUUAGGAAUUUGAAUAUCGUCACUUAUUAAAUCGAAACCCUACAUAUGAAUUUCGUGUAUUCUUGAUUUUUAUGAAAUAAAUAUGGUUGGGGAACCCUUAACUCCCAUCGACCUUCCUUGGUGGACCCUAAAAAGUCACUAAGGAUGUGUCCGUCUUUACCAAAAAAAAAAAAAAAAAAAACCCUACAUAUGAAUUUUCCCUCAACUUCAAAUUGCAACCACUCAUAACACAAAUAAAACACAAACUAUUCAAAACAUUUAAAUCUUAAAAAUGAAAAUGAUAUUUACCCGAUGUAAACUUGGAGCCAAAUACGAGCUGUAGGAUAUUGAACUUGAAAUAUACUCCGACUAGGUAUGGUUAUCGAUCAUGAGAUGGGGAAGUGGUUAUUGUGGGGCGUAAAUUCUUCAAAUUCUUCUUCACCAUUUUGUGUGAAAUGAGUUUAGGAAGUGGGUUUGCAAAAUUGGGAUAGGUACAAAAUUGCAAAAUGGGUUUAAAAAGUGGGGGGUGUGGUUUUAUGUGAUAUUUUUUUUACUUUUUAUACUACAUUUCAUCUAAUCAAAUCAGUUUUAAUUUAUGACAUG